GACGAACGCUGGCGGCGUGCUUAACACAUGCAAGUCGAACGGAGUGGCGAACGGGUGAGUAUUACGUGAGUAACCUUCCCUCAACUGUGGGAUAAGCCUGGGCAACUGGGUCUAAUACUUCAUAGGUGGGGAUGGGCUCGGGGGCUAUCAGCUUGUUGGUGGGGGGUUGGCCGACCAAGGCGGUGACGGGUAGCCGGCCUGAGAGGGAGGUCGGCCACACUGGAACUGAGACACGGUCCAGACUCCUACGGGAGGCAGCAGUGGGGAAUAUUGCACAAUGGGCGCAAGCCUGAUGCAGCCAUGCCGCGUGUAUGAAGAAGGCCUUCGGGUUGUAAAGUACUUUCAGCGAGGAGGCGUUACUCGCAGAAGAAGCACCGGCUAACUCCGUGCCAGCAGCCGCGGUAAUUC
rnacentral:rRNA from 1 species